CUACUCGGGUUUCUAAUCCUGUUCGCUCCCCAUGCUUUCGCUCCUCAGCGUCAGUUGCGGCCCAGUGACCUGCCUUCGCCAUCGGUGUUCCUCCUGAUAUCUGCGCAUUCCACCGCUACACCAGGAAUUCCAGUCACCCCUACCGCACUCUAGUCUGCCCGUACCCACUGCAAGCCCAAGGUUGAGCCUUAGGUUUUCACAGCAGACGCGACAAACCGCCUACGAGCUCUUUACGCCCAAUAAUUCCGGACAACGCUUGCGCCCUACGUAUUACCGCGGCUGCUGGCAC
rnacentral:rRNA from 1 species